rnacentral:lncRNA from 1 species
UUACGAGAAUGGGAGACGAGACGACUUAGUACGAGAAUUGUUGAAAACUAUUUCCAGAACUUGAAAUCCAUUCUUUUCUCAUGUCCAUGCAUCUUGAAGUCGAGAUGAUCAAUUUGAGGAUAUUUGGGCAUCCAAACGACCUUUUCUAGUGAAAUUUGUGAGGUAGGCUCUAAUUUGAUUGUUUAUGGCCUUGGCUCCAUAAAAACUUUCCCCUUCUUUGUCUGAAGAUCUCUAAGCAUUUAAGUGAAUGAGCAAUUUUUAAGGUGAGCAGCCCUACUUCAAGCAAGGUCAACCAGACUUCCGAGACACAAAAAAUCACUAAAAUUGAAGACCCUACUCCAUCCAAAAGCUUAGAAAACUCACAAACCACAUGAAGCAAGGAAGCUUAUUCUGCUCCAGUCCCUAAUCCCAAGCCUUAUAAACUCGAAAACAAACAAAUGCAUCAUCCCUACUGCAGGAAGUACACAUGUCGGGGUUCGGGCGCCACCCAAACUGCACCAAAAUGACGGCGUCUCAAAGUAGACGGUGAAACCAACGACCAAAAGAUGGGUAUAAAAGAUAGAGAUCGAGGGGAGAGGUAGGGAAGAGGAACCAGAGGAGGGGCAAACGAAGAACCAAGACAACAGGUGGAGAAAAAGAUCGUUGAAAACUCGUCUAAGAAACUGAAUAGGCCAGAAAUGGAGAUCUAACAUACCAGAAGAAAAACAAUUCCUCCACGGCCAAUUCGGUCCUAAGCGUUAACCACAAAAAGCAAAAUCCUCCAUGACAGGGGAAAAGGUGGCCAUCAAGAAGCUAUCCUGUCUUGGGCGUUAACCACAAAAGACCUAAACAGAGGGCAACAGGUCUCAGAUCCCCAAAAAAGGAAAAACUCCAUCUUUGGCAUUAGUCUACCUAGAAGAGGUGAAAGUCGAGGAAAAGAGAAAGAGUACUGGAGAGAAGGUGGAAAACCGAACCUCUGGGAAGAGAGAGAGAGAGGAAGAGAGAGAGAGAGAGAG